GGCGUGCCUAAUACAUGCAAGUCGAGCGAAUCUUCAGAAGCUUGUUUCUGAAGAUUAGCGGCGGACGGGUGAGUAACACGUGGGCAACCUGCCUGUAAGACUGGGAUAACUUCGGGAAACCGGAGCUAAUACCGGAUAAUCCUUUUCCUCUCAUGAGGAAAGGCUGAAAGUCGGUUUCGGCUGACACUUACAGAUGGGCCCGCGGCGCAUUAGCUAGUUGGUGAGGUAACGGCUCACCAAGGCAACGAUGCGUAGCCGACCUGAGAGGGUGAUCGGCCACACUGGGACUGAGACACGGCCCAGACUCCUACGGGAGGCAGCAGUAGGGAAUCUUCCGCAAUGGACGAAAGUCUGACGGAGCAACGCCGCGUGAGCGAUGAAGGCCUUCGGGUCGUAAAGCUCUGUUGUUAGGGAAGAACAAGUAUCGGAGUAACUGCCGGUACCUUGACGGUACCUAACCAGAAAGCCACGGCUAACUACGUGCCAGCAGCCGCGGUAAUACGUAGGUGGCAAGCGUUGUCCGGAAUUAUUGGGCGUAAAGCGCGCGCAGGCGGUCCUUUAAGUCUGAUGUGAAAGCCCACGGCUCAACCGUGGAGGGUCAUUGGAAACUGGGGGA
rnacentral:rRNA from 1 species